GGGAGGAGUAUGUAUAAUAAGAAUGAAAUUGUCACUACAGAUUUAUCCUUUUCAAGCACAAUGAAUUAAAUAAGUUUCUUCAAGUUUCUCAUGUAAUCAAAGACAGGUUUUUUUUUAGUUUUGUUUUCUUAUAAAAAAUAAAUGAAAAAAAAAUUACAAUGCUGAACUUGGAUAACAAUGAAUCUUCAUCUUUAAAACUUUUAUUCCUUGUAUGGAGCCUACAAACAAGAACGUCUAUAAACAUAACUGCCAGGAUAAAGCUAAAGCAAGAAUAUAUCAUCAGGACUGCUUUUCAGCUGCACAUGAGCAACAGAGACAACAGCUGAGAGGCAUUUAACAGCUACCUUGUAAAGUUCACAGAGCUGCACCUGUGUGCUCUGAAGUUCUUCGCGUGGUCUCCACCAGGUAAAUACUUGUAAGUUUGAAUUCUAAGAUAGUAUCCUUGAACUGUGUUUACUUUCACUGAAAUAAAUGUAAAUAGUGAUACUUUUAGCAUGUGAAUUGGUGUCUGCCAAACUGGGUCCAUAACUUCAUAAGACUUUAAAACAGCAUAAAAAAACUGACCAGUUUUAAAACUAACAUAUUAAAAGAAGGAAAGAAGAUGAGGUGUUAAUAUUUAAUUAACAUUGGAUAAAUCCAUUGGAUAGUCACAGUUAGAUGUUCAGCUCUGCAUUUUCCCUGCAUUGGGUGUGACUUAGCAGCAGCACUGUUUUUUGGUCACCAAAAAGUAUAUUUCGACCCAACACUGAUAUUGAAUUACAAACUAAAAAUCUAUUUAAAC
rnacentral:lncRNA from 1 species